GAAGAUGGUUGUCCUUUGUCGAUCGAUAAUCAGUCUGCCAUAACAAGCAGUUUUCAUUAGUCAUCCGAUGAUGAUGAUGAAAGGGGCACUCAGACUCAAAAUAAGCUGCAGCUUUGCUGUUGUAUUGGUGGUUCCUUCAGGGAGGACUGGUUUUCAACUAGACCAAGAGGAGGACUGGUUUUCAACUAGACCAACAUUCUAGCUCAUACGCGCUUUGUCAAUGUUAGCCCCGACUGUAUAGCAUCCUAUUUAUCUGUACUCAUCCCUCUGAACCCUUUCCCAAGCAAAAAAAAAAAGAUUAAAAAAAGGAGAAAAAAAAGAUUUGUCUUAUGUCCCUGUGUUAUUUCUUACUGAACCGACUGUUUUCUAUUCAUUUCUUGUGUAUUGAAUUUUCCAGUUAAACAUUGGUUUUAUUUAUGUGCUGAACAUUGUUACAUUUUUGGAGCAACCUGUCCUAUGCAUAAAUGAAUUGAACUUGCUAGUUAUACACUGGGUGUGAAUGUGAAUUAUCUAUCAGACUUGUAGCAUCCGUGUUGAGUUUAUGUAUGCUUUUGAGUCUAAACCCUCUGUCAUGUCAUUCCAUCCUGCACAUAGUUGUCCUGGCUGCACAAUCUGAUCCGUGUUAUUCAUCAGCCUGCUGUAGUCGUCGUAGUAGUAGUGUAUACUCCCUCCGUUCCAAAAUUCUUGUCGUAGAUUUGUUUAGAUAUGAAUGUAUCCAGUCAUGUUUCAGUAUUUUGAUACAUCCAUUUCUAGACAAACCUAAGACAAGAAUUUUGAUUUUGAUACAUUCAUUUUUAGACAAACCUAAGACAAGAAUUUUGGAACGGAGUGAGUAGUUAGCUGUUUCUUUUUUGGCAUGACAUUGUGUAUGCGUAUGUGGUGAACUGAUGUACGUUUUGCGUGCUGUUGCUCUGGUCUUGGUAACGGCGGACAAGAAGUAAUGCGCAUAUAUCUGUACCUGUAAGCACUCCAAGAUCACAGCAUGGGCACAAGAUAUACAGAUCACAGUAUGGGCACGAAGAUAUACCUUGCGGUAUGUUUGCGCGCAGGUACAAAAAGAUUGCAAAGCUGCCCAGGCUAUGCCUUGGGUGGUAUGUUUGCGCGCAGGCACAAAAAGAUUGCAAAGCUGCCCAGGCUAUGCCUUGGGUGGUAUGUUUGCGCGCUGGCACAAAAAGAUUGCAAAGCUGCCCAGGCUAUGCCUUGGGUGGCAAAGCCCGACCCAUGAUGCGGCAAAUCACACGCACGUCGGUGGAGGGAGAAACAAACCACGUACUACUACGUCCACAAAAUCCUGCGUCGCGCGAGCACGUGAAGCCAUCUAGUGGGUUAGCCUCUCCGGUGCGGCUAGUGGUUUUGCAGCGCAGCCUAGCGUCACCGCUCUGUCACGACAUCCAUG
rnacentral:lncRNA from 1 species